rnacentral:rRNA from 1 species
UACGUAGGGGGCUAGCGUUGUCCGGAUUUAUUGGGCGUAAAGAGCGUGUAGGCGGCCAAGUAGGUCCGUUGUGAAAACUGGAGGCUUAACCUCCAGCUGUCGAUGGAAACCAUUUGGCUAGAGUCCGGAAGAGGAGAGUGGAAUUCCUGGUGUAGCGGUGAAAUGCGCAGAUAUCAGGAAGAACACCAAUGGCGAAGGCAGCUCUCUGGGACGGUACUGACACUGAGACGCGAAAGCGUGGGGAGCGAACAGG